rnacentral:rRNA from 1 species
GAACCCUUCACUAAAAGAGGACUAUGAUCCUCGCGGGUUUAAACAAAUUCUCCCUUACCCGCGUGAACUUAAGCAUAUCUAUAAGCGGAGGAAAAAAAACUAACAAGGAUUCCCCUAGUAACGGCGAGAGAGGCGGGAACAGCUCAAAUAUGAAACCUGGCGUCCUUAGCGCGUCCGGAUUGUAUUCUAGAGAAGCGUCUUCUACGCUGGGCCACGUAUAAGUGCCCUGGAACGGGCUGUCAUAGAGGGUGAGAAUCCCGUCCUUGACGUGGGCUACCAGUGUUUUUGUGAUGCGCUUUCUAAGAGUCGAGUUGUUUGGGAAUGCAGCUCAAAGUGGGUGGUAAAUUCCAUCUAAAGCUAAAUAUUGGCCUGAGACCGAUAGCGAACAAGUACCGUGAGGGAAAGAUGAAAAGCACUUUGAAAAGAGAGUCAAACAGUACGUGAAAUUGCUGAAAGGGAAACGCUUGAAGUCAGUCGCGCCCCCUGGAAUUCAGCCCUGCUUUUGUAGGGUGUACUUUCCAGGGGGCGGGCCAACAUCAGUUUUGACCGGCAGAUAAAGGCUGGGGGAAUGUGGCUCCUUCGGGAGUGUUAUAGCCCCUGGUCACAUAUGCCGGUUGGGACUGAGGAACGCAGCGCGCCCUUGUGGCAGGCCUUCGGGCACUUUCGCGCUUAGGAUGUUGGCAUAAUGGCUUUAAGCGACCCGUCUUGAAACACGG